UUUAGUGUCUUAUGUGAGCACUGGGGAGACUUAUUUUGUGGGUUUGAUGAGGAUUUGGGGGUCUUAUCUGAGCUCAUACUACCCCCAUGUCAGAUAAGACCCCCAGAUCAGUACUUUAAUAAAAUAAAACUGUGGAGGCUUAUCAUAC